GCCAUCAGCGCAGCUCAAAACAGUUUGCAUCGAACGGCGGCCGAUGCAAGUUCAGUUCGAAGCCAGACAAAAUAAACGUUGAAUUUAGAUAUCGCGCCAUUAAACAAAUAAGUAUUCUUCCUCAAAAAACGAGUCGCAGACUUUAUGUGCAGAACUUCAGAAUUUACAUACAUACAUAAUUAGACCACAGGCAGACGAAACCAUAUAAAAGUUAAUCACGUGUAAAUGCGCACCUCCGCUGACCACGUUUUACAGUAUAUUCGUAAUCAACAUAUUUAUGUAUAAAUAAAUUAAAUAAACAGUGGCACACAGCUAUCGGAGAGCAAGAUGAUUGAGCGUGAAGUCAUACAGUAAGUAUAUAUAU